GAGUUUGAUCUUGGCUCAGAUUGAACGCUGGCGGCAUGCCUUACACAUGCAAGUCGAACGGCAGCACGGGAGCUUGCUCCUGGUGGCGAGUGGCGAACGGGUGAGUAAUGCAUCGGAACGUAUCCUGGAGUGGGGGAUAACGUAGCGAAAGUUACGCUAAUACCGCAUAUUCUGUGAGCAGGAAAGCGGGGGACCUUCGGGCCUCGCGCUCUUGGAGCGGCCGAUGUCGGAUUAGCUAGUUGGUGAGGUAAAGGCUCACCAAGGCGACGAUCCGUAGCAGGUCUGAGAGGAUGAUCUGCCACACUGGAACUGAGACACGGUCCAGACUCCUACGGGAGGCAGCAGUGGGAAUUUUGGACAAUGGGGCAACCCUGAUCCAGCCAUGCCGCGUGAGUG
rnacentral:rRNA from 1 species